UACCAGCACCCCGAGUGGUCGGGACGAUUAUUGGGCCUAAAGCAUCCGUAGGCGGCUUGGUAUGUCGGGUGUGAAAUCCCCGGGCUCAACCUGGGAACUGCAUCCGAAACUGCCUUGCUAGAGUAUGGGAGAGGGAAGUGGAAUUUCCGGUGUAGCGGUGAAAUGCGUAGAUAUCGGAAGGAACAUCAGUGGCGAAGGCGACUUCCUGGACCAAUACUGACGCUCAGGUGCGAAAGCGUGGGGAGCAAACAGG
rnacentral:rRNA from 1 species